CGUCCCGCCGCCGUUUCGGGCACGGCCCCCUGCGAUCUUCGCCCUCGCUGCCCCGCUCCGGUCCUCAGCGCCCCCCGCGGGGCGCCGCGCUCAGCUGCUCGGGGUGACCCCGGGACUGCCUUCGGUCUGUGUUUACGCGAGGAUUAACAGUGAAGGAUUCGGGAAGCCUCUUCACGUGUAAUACGAUCUUGCUCAAAAGUUUUGCUUCGUAACAAAACAAACAGGGCCAAAAGAAAGCACAAACAGAAGAUAAGGAGGAUCGGCAUACCCUCUAGGAAAAGUCCAAAGUGCUUCUCCCCGCUGUUAUCAUUAUCAUCCUAUCUGAAAGCAUUACCUUUUUCCUGUUUGGCACAAAGCACUCUGUGUUUGUCACCAGACUUUGUGCAGUCCCUGAGAAAGGGCCAGCAAGUGGCCGAAGUGUAAGGAACAAUAGAUCCAGCAUAAAUAACAGCAUGGAUCUGAGUUUAGGUCGGGAGCAGGAGAAUUACAAAUGUUUGAGAAGCUUCAAGAAGAGCUUUAAAGCAUAUCAGCAUUGCUAAAGAUGGGGUUUUGCACAUUUUUUAAGCUUUAAAGUUUUAAAAACUUCUGGAUUGUUAAUGCUCAUUUGUUUUCCUGAGUUGGAAACAGUCCGAAGACAACAAUGUGGUUUUGCUAUGAAGGAAACAUGCUGAGAUCAGCCCGUGUCUCUGUCCAGAACUGCUGACUUCAGGGUGCACUGCUAAGUGCUUUUCAUCUCAUGGUAACCCAUGUGUAUUUGUGCUGCUGGGAACAAGUACAGCUCUUUGUAUGUUUUUGCUACACGCAGUCACAAAUCACAAUGGCUGCUUUCUAACAGCACCAUAUAAAGUGGGCAGCAAAAGUCCCUUCCGCUCAAGCCUCUCUUCCCAGGCUGGACGUUGCAGAGCAUCUAAUAAUGCUGAAAAGAGGAAUGGCUGGAAGAUAAGGAAACUUUGAGCCCUGUGAGAUAUGUGUGAGUGAUCUGUUACAAAGAGUCAUCUUAUCAUGGAAACACUGGAGGGAUUUAUUUCUUGCUGUCAGUGGCAGAGUCCAUAACUGCUGCUGCUCGAGCAAACAGCACCAGGGUUGAUAGAGACACUGAAGAGUCAGCCCUUCCUUUUAGAUCAAUGUCAUCCCUCCUGUAACGCUGUCAGACAAGGAAAUGAUUGCAGAAUAUUGCAGUCGUACAAAUAAAUGUGCGCUUCAGUGGAAUAAGAGGCAUAGCUGAGAGUGGGGUUGGGGUCAGACAUUAAGGUUGCACUCACAUUAUCUGCAUUUUAGUCCCAGUUCUGCCACAGACCUCCCCUUCUGUCUCUCGUUGUAUCUUGGAGGGUGUCUGAGUGUAACACAGUGCAGCUUGCUCUAUGGUUGGCAUAGUACUCUUAUUGGAAAUAGAGUGUAAACUUCUGCUUUCCAGGGCUGUGUCUACACGAGUUUCCACCUCUGCAGCACUGCCAUUAGUUUGAUGCUGCUAUGUGAAAAAAACCCUCCAAAAACACACAGCAAACCAGGUGGUUUCCAUUUCAAGUCCUUUACCCUUGCCUCUUCGAGCAGUCAUGGGCUGUCUGAUCUGCAGCCUGUUCAGGAUGAUGAAAGUCUCUGCAUUCACCUCCAUAGGCUUCAGGUCAAACCCAAUGAAAUUAAUUACAGAAACAUUUUGCAGGAAACAAACAAUGACUGAGUUAAAUGUAAACUUAGUUGAAGGCUUUUUUAGUUAAAGUGUUGUUGUAAUUAUAGUGACUGUGAUGAUAAAAGGUCAGGGUUUCUCGUUUAAACAAAGAGAUUAGAUUAAAUUAAAGCAUGACACGCUGACUUUUGAAUAACUGCAUAUAAGCAAAUUUAUAGCAAUAAACUUGCCAAGGGAAUGACUAACCUGUUGCUGAGAAUAAAGCUGUAAGCAAAAAGAUGUAAAUAGUAGGAACAGCCUCACUAAGGACCAGACUCCAGGCACUAACUGAGCUGCUUUGCUCUAAGGCAGCGGCUUCAGAAGUCAGUAUCAUGGGCAGUAAUAUCAGUGAGUGUUGUUUUCCCUCCUGGCUCCCAGGGAUGCUCCAUUUCACCCCUUGCUGCUGCCUGCCUGUGCUCCAGCACUGACCUUGGUACAGCUUUUCCAUGGAUCACGCAGUGAAACCGAGCCCGCUUUUGAGCACGCACGCACAGAAACAAGGAAACGUAUCUUACCAGGUCAUUUUUUAUUGCAGAUCAUCCCCCUGAUCUGCCACGGAGCGUGGGCUCUCGGGUGCUGGCACUGAUGCCCGGUCCAGGGUAGCAUGAGGUGAGCUGAAGCAGGGUGGCUGGUUCAGGAGCGGGCACUGGUUGGCCUUCAGCACCUCAAGUCAGCUUCUCCUUUGCAAAGGGCUCAGCAAAGAUUUCACGUGACCUGAAGAUCACCAUAAAUAACCAUUUGGGGGUUUCUGUUUAUUUGUUUUAAUGUGGUCAGAUGGUGUUUUUAUGGUAACCGUUUGCUUAACGAAAUGUUGAACUGUGUAGGAAGUGAUGGAGCUUUGAUUACUCGUUCACCAAAAUUCAGGAGUUUGAAUGUGAAUACUCCUCACUCUGCCAUUCCUAGCAUGUCAUUACUCCAACUAGGAGCAUGCUUAAGAUAUUUAAAUAAUAUCCCAUUCAGCUACACACAGGAGAAAACGCAUUCACACAGUACAAUAAUGCAAUUGUGCCUUUCCUCUGAGAUGGCAAAAAGGGGCGAUUGGAGCCAUUCUGAGAAAAGCAAAGGCAGUCAGACAGAUUGGGCACGAGGAAACAUGAAAUCAGAUAGCAAACGUGAAAGAAGGGCUCCUCUGCAUUCAGAGCAGAGCGCAAAGCCAACAAAGCCAACUGUGUGAGAUGAGAAACCCCAGCACUGCACUAGCCAGAGGGAUAUGCAGAUUUGGGCUUUUUUUCAGACCAGACAAGAAAAGAGAGCAUGAGCAGUCUGGUGCUCUUCUGACUCUCACUGGUGCACACCAGGAGCAGCUAUGCUUAGGGAGCUCAUCUCAGCACAGGUAUGCUGCAGUAACUAUGAUUUAAGUCAAACAAAGGGUCAGGCCUCAAUCACUAAGUGCAAAACCUGGCCUCCUACUUCCUAAUGGCCAUCAUAGCUUUGUGGCACUGUCCUAAAGAACCCCAGGUGUUGGUGACAACUGCUCACAGCACAAACGCUGGGACCUCUACUGCUCAGCCAACGGGUCAGCAGCAGAGGAGGUCCACGUUUAACCAAAGAGAACACAAAGACACUCCUAUGGUUGCUAAUGUUUGUUUGUUCUACAAAUACCGAGACAAGAUUCCUUUUUGGCCAGUCUGCAGGUCUGAUUAAUGUAUUUUUUUAGUUGCUUUUUUGUGACUAUAAACAGGGAGGUGACUUCGGGUUGUAAUACACAGAGGCCACAACUGCUAAAAAUAGACCACAACAACUUAAUGCACACAUCAGCGUUUAACCGCCACGCUCCCGUAUACCCCAGCUCUUUAAAGGCCCUGCACACGGACACACCAGUGUAUCUGGAGGCACAUUGCCCUGCUCUGGUUGAGAAUUACCUUGUCCAGAGAGCAUGAGGAAGGAGACCGAGCAAAGGGAGCACUGAGCAGGAGGCAGAAGAGCUGCUCAGAGACAUGUGGCUGAAUGCUGCCCCAUCCCGCAGGGAUGGGAGGGCAAGUGCUUUCCCCUGGGGAAGGCAGCAUUCCAGCCCUCUCAGUGAUGCACAGCAUUAUUUUCAACUGCAAACAGUUUUUAAAAUAGCAGCCUAUAAGAUCGAGACAGAGAAGGAAGAAAAGGGUGUGAUGGGAAUCGGAACGAUGCAAUUUCUAUGGAUUUUUUUCUUGUGAAGUCAUGAGCCUAGAAAUAAAUCUGACAAAGCAAAGUCAAAACCUUCCCCUUUCCCACAGUGGACUGCAG
ensembl:lncRNA